UCUUCACGAUUCUCUUGAUCUGCAUCAAUUUUUCUCCCAAAUUUUCAUUGCUAAUUCUUUCGUUAAUGUUAUAUUGAUUUAUUUGAUGAUUUUUUUUGGUUUAGUUGAUCUGAAAUUGAUUAAUUUUAUGGUUGCCCUGUGAACUUAGGGUUUCGUUGUUGAUUCUUUGCAGAGAACGGUGUAAUUUUGGAGAUGAACAAAGAUCGACCAUCUGCUCCUCUUGAUUUCUUCAUCUACAAUGUUGAGGAUUGCAGGCCUCCUGUUUUGUUCAUCAUUCCUCUCACCUUUGUUGAAUAUCUUAGAUCUGCCGUUUUUCAAUGGCUUCCACUACAGAACAAGCUGAACGCUAUGAUGUAGUAGUAAUUUAGCAAGGGUUGUGGCACGACAAUACUUUGGCAACCAAUCUACUUUUCAGUUGGUUUUUGGUACAACUUGAUGGAACUUCUGCAUUAGAUCAGAGAAGGAAAACAGUGGUGACUGUAUCAAGAUGUUAUUUUUCUCCUUUUCUAUUAUCUUGGGUUUUCUAUUUAACUGGCUUUUUUUUUUGGGUUGUUACUUGAGGUGUUUAAUUUUGUGUUUCCUAUCUUUUAUCUUUACAUCAGCUCCCGAAAACCUGAGCAAUUUAAUCAAUUGGGUUGCUGGAGUUCGAGAAGAGGAGAGUGACAAGAAUGGGAGUGAACUUGUCAGUGACGAUGAAUGGAGAAGGUUGGUCACUAAGGUUGGAACUUUUCUGAUACCUUUUCAGAUUAACCUUCAAUUUUAGGUAUUCUUCAUAUUUUGUAUUAUUGUUUGCAGGUUUAUGUGUUUGGUUGGUGGUAGAGAUCUGGGUUUAGUUGGUUAUGGAUUUUGGUAUGUAGAUGUUUGGUUGGAAUAUUUUUGGUAAAACCCUUAACGUUGGAUAUGUGUGCCAUAAUUCCAAUCGAUAUUAGUGUUUUCUUAUGAAUUAUAACCCUUUAAACAUAGUAUAAGCCUCUUGAACUUGAAGAAACAAUUUGUGAAUUUGUAGUAUAGACAUGAUCUGCUUCACUUUGCUCCCACGCACUCCUCACGUGAUGCACCGCCUCCUUCUCUUCUUCAUUCUUGCACCUUCUGCAGCGUUUUCACUCUUCUCUCUCUUUCUCUUCAUCUCUGGAUCUCUAGACCUUCUCGCUUUCUCUCGCUCCUCUCUCUCUCAUUUAAUCUUUUCUUCUCCCUCCUCUUCACUGCUCCUCUCCCUCUCAUUUAAUCUUCUAAUCUAUCUAAUCUAUCUCAUCUAUCUCAGCUCGAAAACGUUAGGGUUUUGGCUAUGGUUGAGCACGCAAAAUUGGUGGUGUCAUCGAAUCUUUUCUUCUCCCUCCUCUUCAGUGCUCCUCUCUCUCUCAGUUAAUCUUCUAAUCUAUCUAAUCUAUCUCAUCUAUCUCACCUCGAAAAAGUUAGGGUUUUGGCUAUGGUUGAGCACGCAAAAUUGGUGGUGUCAUCGAAUUUUCAGGGUUCGCAAAAUUCUCGAAUAAAUAUGAAACCAAGAGAUAUGAGUGUUUAUGAUUUUAAGGAAGAUGACGAAUUGACCGAAACUCUUCAGCAGUAAGAUUUCAAUUGUUUCAUGUUCAUUUUUAAAGUUUUUUUUGCUGAGUUUCUUUCAAUUUCAUGUCAACUUCUUCCUCAUUUUCUCUCUCCUCUUUCUCUGUUUUUUUUUUUUUUUUUUUUGCCAUUGCUAUGGAGUUUUCUGUUUCUCCAUUGUAACUGAGUAAUAUGCUUGCUCAACUUUCGAGGUUAUUCUUCAAUUCACCGUUUUAUUCGACCUAAUUUGCUUCAAUCGUUUCAUUACCGAAUUUCUAACUCUAUCUUUCUUUAUUUCAUUAUUCACUUCUUAUAAACCCUAAUUGCCCUAAUUUGCUCUGAUUGUUUCUCUAUUCUUCAAUCAGUUAUUGUGUCUAAUCGACAACAUCUCCCUUCUUUUCCAGCAGCGGCUUUUGGUUAUUGGCGUUAUAUUCCAAGGGGUCUGUUUUGAUUAUUAGAUGGAUGGGAGGUUCAUUUGGUGUAGUUUCUCUCUCCUCUGUGACAUAUUCUCAAUGGCAGCGAGCCUCGAGUCACCAUUGCAAGCUUCAGCAGCAACCUCAAUCGCCAAGCUAGACACCUCAGCCUUACUUCUUCUCGGCUUCCCAUCUCCAAUUCUUCUGGUAUUCCUCUUUUUU